UUAGCGUAUAUCAAAGUUGUUGCGGUUAAAAAGCUCGUAGUUGGAUCUGUGUCUCGCACCGCUGGUACACCGCCCGUCGGUGCUGACUGGCGCGCUGCGUGAUGUCAUGCCGGAGACGUGUCAGGCCAGCCUCAUGGAGGUGUUGGUCGGCGUCCUUUGAAAUCCUACUCUGGUGCUCUUCAUUGAGUGUCGAGGUGGGCCGGCACAUUUACUUUGAACAAAUUAGAGUGCUCAAAGCAGGCAAAUUUGCCCGAAUAUCUUUGCAUGGAAUAAUGGAAUAGGACUUCGGUCCCAUUUUGUUGGUUUUAAGGACCUGAAGUAAUGAUAAAUGGAGACAGGCGGGGGCAUUCGUAUUGCUACGUUAGAGGUGAAAUUCUUGGAUCGUAGCAAGACGGACUGAAG
rnacentral:rRNA from 1 species